ensembl:lncRNA
AUGAUGUGUGCCACAAAGACGAAUUCUUCAACAGAGUGGAGCAGUGUGAAUAAUUGUGCAUUACUAUUUCUUGUCUGUUUGCAGAUCUCAGAGAACAGCUUCUGGCCAUUGAAGGUGAAUAAGCAAAGUUUCUGUAACUUGUGCAACAAACAAAUCCUAACAAGGUGUUUCCAAGCCUGGAGGAGACAUAUCCUUUGGAAGAGGGCAGCCAGGCAGCUUUACAGACGCCAGCUGCUUCAGAAGGGCUUUGGUGCUCUGCAGUGGACUUUGCACCAAAGGAGGACACAACUGGAGGUGGCCCAGCAGAGACAUGCUUCAACUCUGGUAGCUGCCAGCUUCCAGAGGUGGAAGGAAGCUGUGGCAAAACAGAGCAAGAAAGAAGCUCUGCAGCCUGAGCCUUACUCCUAUACCCAAAGUUCAUCAGCAGGGAUAUUUGGAAUAGGAAGAUUAGCAACUAUGACAACCUCAGCUCAGCAUCAGCUUGCAACAGGAUACUCAAAGGAAGUGGAGCAGGCUUGUAGAAUGGAGGGAGAGCUGUGGACACAGCUUCGUCAUAGGCAGAGAGGAGACGAGUUCUGCUGGAGAGCUGAAGCAAUCAGAGACAUGAGACGGCUGGCUGCAGCUUUCAGACUGUGGCGCCUGCAGAAGGAGCUGCUGAGCAAAGAGGAAACCAGGCUUUUGGAAGCAUGUGCUCUGCUGGAAAAGAAGAAACUACGAAACAUUUUCUGCAUGUGGCAUUCCCAAAGCUUGGAAAUGAAAAAGAUUCUAACACUGACAACUCAAAUCCAAAGAAACUUGGUCUCCCGGUGCUUCAGUACAUGGAAGGAAACUGUUGAGCAGAAGGCACUUGACAGGUGCAACCUGGCCCAUCUCAGAGCAGUAUCACUGAGGAAGCACUUCCAGCAGUGGGUUUUGAUGCUGCAGGUCAGAGGAGGUGAUAAGCAGUCAGUGGUGAACCUCUUCCUGCUACGAUGGAGGCAGCAUUGUGGAGCAGUUAUAAGCUCAGUAGCUGACAAGACUGUGACCAAGAGGCAUGAAGGUCAGACAUCAUGGGCUGAAGAGAGACAGUUUCUGGAGAAAACAAACUACUCUUUUGAUGACUUCUGCCAAAAACUGAAGCUGCAGAGAGUAUAUCUGCUGUGGAAAACAAGGCUAUGUGAGCAUCACAGAGCUGAUUCUUUCUCUCAGACUUUGAAGCAGUGUAAACUCAGAAAAAUUCUGAAAUUAUGGCACCAAAAGUAUCUCAUGCUGAAGACAAUUGAGCAAAGUUCUAAGCAUUUGCAUAGAGCUGUCUAUGAGGAACCUCUUGCCACACUGUUCUCUGAGGACUUCUCAACAUCAUCUGGCUUUGACAGCAGUGCACCAGCUACUCUGACCUCUCAAAGCUCAUUGGAAAAGGAAUGCAGUCUUAGUGACAGCAGCCAGCACAGCUUCUCUUCCCUUCUGCCUGCUGAGGAUGUCACACAUGUGUCAUGUCACAGUUCUUUCCUGCAGCUCCACCAGUGCACAGAGCUGCCAGCUGAGCUGGGUGGGGAGCUGUGCUUGCAGACCUCCUUCCCUGGAUCUGGAAGAAAUUGGUCUGUGGGAAAUCCGUUCCAGACUUUGGUGCUGCAGAGUCCAGAUAAUAAUUUCCAGCCUCUCACCAGUUACUCUGCAUGGGAAGAGGGCUGCAGUUCUGAUAAGGAGAUGAAGAGCUGCUGGCAGCAAGUGGAGAAACACUGCCUGCAGAGGUGCUUCAUUGUCUGGUCAGCUCGAGCCCAACAUCAUGUAAAGGCCCAGCAGUACUGCAGGCACAUUCAGCUGUCUCGAGCCUUUCUCAGCUGGCACCACUGGGUCAUGGAAAAUAAGAACCAAAAAGCAGCAGCAGCAGCCCUAAAACAUGGAGUUCAUUGUUGCCAGAUGGCUUUCAGCCUGUGGAAAAGGAGACUGGCCCAGAAGGUGGAAGUUGAGCGGAGAUUCAGGUGUCAUGUUCACCAGAUGACUGCUGAUGCUCUGUGGCAUUGGCAUUCCUGCUGGCAAAGGAAGCGUGCUCUGAGAGAUCUGCAGCAGCAAUGGGCUUGGCACAGCUGCCAGGAGAAGAAAAGGCUGGUUCUGCAGACAUGGUAUCACCAAACAAGGAAGCAGAAAUAUGCUGUUUUAUUCUGGGAACGUUUUCUCCUGCACAGGUGCCUUGUCACUUGGGCCCAGGUCACUGCAUGCAGACUGAGGCAGCAUGAAGCCCUCUCUUGUUUUAAAAGAGUCAGAGAGCACCGUCUCCUGGUUGUGUGCUUUAGUAAGUGGAGGGACAAACUCCUGAGAGCUGAACAAGUGCCAGGAGGGAGAAACCACAAGUGGCAGGAGCCCUCUCCAGGUAAAGCCUGUCACCGCUGGCGAGUGGCUGCAAGAGGACAGCGAGCCCUGCGCCUGGGGUCUGCAGCUACUGUCAAACAAGCCUGCAACUACUGGACCAGAGCAGCUGCCUUUUCCCAGUGCCUACGGCAGCACAGUACCCUCAUAGGUGUUAGGAAAAGCAGGAAGAUGUCUCUGUCUUGGUCCACGAAAAGCAGAAGAGGCAGAGAAGAUUCAGCACCAACUGGACUUUUUCCCAGUGCCAUUCAGCGCUGGCUGGUGAUCUACAGGAGCCAAAACAGGGCUGAAAGGCUGGAGAGACCUGGUGUAGUAGGACCCCCUCGUGCACAUGCAGGGAUCCAGGAGAGCACAGCAGAGGUGGACUUGGAGGAGUGGGCUAAGAAGUGGCUUGGGAGGAAAUAUCUGAGGUCAUGGCAUCACACAGCGGUACUGCGCCGGUGCCAGCAUGACAGGAAACUGCUCAGUCUGGCAAGGGGAUGGCAUCAGUGGAGGGAAGCCAGCAAGGUGGUGAAACUGGCUCAGGUGUUGGUGAGUGUCCAGUGCCACUGGACUGGCAGUGAUGGGUGUUACUGGGCAAACCUGCUCUGCCUCACAACCUGGGAGAUGAGACCUGGGGUUUUAACAAGUACCAGUAUGCACCAGAAAUCCUGGUUUACUGCUGUGACUAGUUUUUCCAUUGUUCUUUUUGAAAUGUCAGCUUGGCAGACUGGCAUAGCCACAGAUUCAAUGUCCUUUGCCCUUACGGAUCAGAAGCUGAAACAGGAUUUGUCUAGAUUGUCUGUAGACUGUGGAAAAAGUUCACAGCAAUUAUGA